rnacentral:rRNA from 1 species
UACGUAGGGGGCUAGCGUUGUCCGGAUUUAUUGGGCGUAAAGAGCGUGUAGGCGGCCAGAUAGGUCUGCUGUGAAAACUCGAGGCUCAACCUCGAGCUGUCGGCGGAAACCAUCUGGCUAGAGUCCGGAAGAGGAGAGUGGAAUCCCGGUGUAGCGGUGAAAUGCGCAGAUAUCGGGAAGAACACCUGUGGCGAAGGCGGCUGCGUCUGGGACGUAGCGUCUACGCUGAGACGCGAAGCGUGGGAGCAAACAGGAUUGAGAACCACAA